UAGCUCAAAUUUGAAAUCUGGCGUCUUCGACGUCCGAGUUGUAAUCUCGAGAAGCGUUUUCCGCGCUGGACCGUGUACAAGUCUCCUGGAACGGAGCGUCAUAGAGGGUGAGAAUCCCGUCUUGGACCCGGGCCCACAGUGCUCUGUGAUACGCUCUCAAAGAGUCGAGUUGUUUGGGAAUGCAGCUCAAAAUGGGUGGUGAACUCCAUCUAAAGCUAAAUAUUGGCGAGAGACCGAUAGCGAACAAGUACCGUGAGGGAAAGAUGAAAAGCACUUUGGAAAGAGAGUUAACAGUACGUGAAAUUGUUGGAAGGGAAACACAUGCAGUGAUACUUGCUAUUCGGGGCAACUCGAUUGGCAGGCCCGCAUCAGUUUUUCGGGGCGGAAAAUCGUAGAGAGAAGGUAGCAGUUUCGGCUGUGUUAUAGCUCUUUACUGGAUUCGCCCUGGGGGACUGAGGAACGCAGCGUGCUUUUAGCAUGAGCUUCGGCUUAUCCACGCUUAGGAUGCGGGUUUAUGGCUGUAUAUGACCCGACUUG
rnacentral:rRNA from 1 species